AUGAAUCCAUAUCCAUCUCGUUUGCAUGUUUUAGAGCUUCCUAGCUUGAGCUAUGAUUUUUUCCGUGAAGGGACAGCAAAGGGUUGCUUCCCGGGAAUGAGAUUAGGCGCGUUUUUGUUGCAGCACCAAUCCACCGGAGAUAGCCUCGCACCACCUCCCUCGCAACGAUUGAGGCGAUCUUUGGACUCACCCCUCGUGGACUUUGUUUCAGCUAGGAUCUACUUGAGGUUUAUAAACUUUGCCUUGGUUUGUUUCCAUGAUCACUAUGUUGACCUGUCAAGCAUAACGGUUGGUGGCUUCACCACUUUGCUCUACAUGGGUUGUAGGAGCCUGUUGGAUGCUUCUGCUUGUGAUAUUAUGAAUAUAUGCUCUGUUUAUUCAACUGCCUGUCGUGGAUGUCCGAUGAUGCCUAGGGGUAAAGCUGGUAGAAAGCAAGUUCCACCCACUCGGGGAAAAACAGCAGCUGGUGCUAACCCCCGAGGUCGUGGACGCAGGAGUGCCCAACCUGUAGCUGAGGAGAGUGGCGAGGGAUCAGUGGCAACUGAUGAUGUUGCUUCACCACCUCAAGCUGAGUGGCGUGAGUUGAUGCAAGAACUCCACACACUUUGUCAGCAAGCUCAAGCCCAAGCCACAACUCCUGCACCUGCCAAUGCCCAGGGCAUGAUGAAUGAGCCAUUUGGCUCAAGACAAGUCAAUCCUCUUCUCACAUGGUCUAUGGUACACUCUGACACUUUUAAUGGGACUGGGACUCCUGUAGUGGCAGCUGAUUGGUUGCGCAUCAUGGAACGACGCCUUGAGGUCAUGCAAGUGCAACCAGCCCAAAAGGUGAUGUUUGCUACUAUUCAGCUAAAGGGUAAUGCAGACAUCUGGUGGGAGAAUGUUCAUUCCUCUUUACCACCAGAGCAUGCCACACCUACUUGGGAGUUCUUCCGAACUCAAUUCAUUGAGAAGUACUAUCCGGCUUCCUAUAUAGAGAGGAUGGAGAAUGCACUAAGCAAGUUAAGGCAAGGAAACAAAACAAUACAGGAUUAUGAAACCGAGUUCAACGAUAUCAUCCGCUUUGUGCGAACAGUGGCUAAUAAUGAUAAAGAGAAGGCAAGGAGGUUCAAGGAUGGGCUAGAGCAGCAGUAUCGUGUUGUGCUCAGUGUUGCUGGGUCCUCUAGCUUUGCUUCCUUGGUUGAGAACGCCAAAAAGAUAGAGUUCGAGCUGCAGAAUGGCUCACCUCCUCCAAUGGUAUCUUCCCCACCCGGUGGCCCCAGUAAUUUCUCUACUGCGGGUGCCAACCAAAAGCGAGACUAUGGUGAUAGCAGCAAGUCUAACCGCCGCCCAAUGAAGAAGUUUAAGAAUGUCCAGUCUACCCCCCAGCCCUUCAAGCAGAAGUCACAGAAGACGUCAUCCUCUGUUGGACCGCGUGUGCAAUAUUGUCCAAUGCCUGGGCAAGGGAUGAUGUGUUUCAAGUGUGGCGAACGCCAUAGAGCUAAUGAGUGUAAUUGGACCGGUGUGUGCAAUGGCUGUCACAAAACUGGUCACAUGGAGCGGGUUUGUAAGUUGAACCUUGCUAGCAUUAUCAAGUGGCAGACUGUGUCUUCCCAACCGGAGUCCUCAUCAACGCCCAUGUCCUCACAUGGGUCUGUACAAGCAAUGAAGAAUAUUCAAGCUCCUCCGUAUCAAUAUGCAACCUGGGGUCCUCCUCCUCCUCAAAAUUGGCCACCAACUCACACAACGCUACCUAACUACCCAGUACCCCAUGCUCCUCCAAUCAUGCCCCAGAUUGGCGCUCCACCUGCACUAGCUUGUCAGAGCUUUUAUACCUUGCCUUCAUCAUCUACUGCUGGACGUCCGGAUGUCGUGAUAGGUACUCUACCUGUCAACUCAGUUGAAGCUCUAGUACUAUUUGAUUCUGGUUCCAGUUUCUCAUAUGUAUCGGCAGACUUUGCGAAUCGGGCAAACAUGUCUAGGCAAGAAAUUUCCCAACCAGUGAGGGUUAGUUCUCCAGGGGGAGUCCUUUCUUGUAGCACUAUGUGUCCUGGCUGUGAUAUUUCUAUUGAGGAUGAAGAUUUCACUGCAAAUCUGUUCAUCCUUCCACUUCAGCCUUUUGAUGUAAUUCUUGGCAUGGAUUGGCUACAAGCUUACAGAGCAGUAAUCUCUUGCUUUUGGAGAAUUAUCACCCUUGACUCCCCCUCAGGGAAGGAGUGUGUCUACCAAGCUAGUGCACCUCCACCAUCUUUGUCAAUGUUGGCCAGUCUCUUUCCAGGCCAGCCAUCUCCGAAGAGUGGGAUAUUGUGGACUCUUCUUGGAAAACCAAAUCUUACACUCGAGUCCCGUCCAUUGAAGAUUCUUGACGAGUCUGAGCGUGCCUUGAGGCACCGAAAGGUCAAGUAUGUGAAGAUUCUUUGGACUAAUCAAACAGAACGAGAAGCAACCUGGGAACUAGAGUCCCAAAUGCGCGAAAAGUACCCAGAAUUGUUCUCUGAUGGUACGUUCUAA
rnacentral:rRNA from 1 species